GAUGAACGCUAGCGGCAGGCUUAAUACAUGCAAGUCGAGCGCGAAAGGAGCAAUCCGAGUAGAGCGGCGCACGGGUGCGUAACACGUGGAUAAACUGCCUCAGGGUUGAGGAUAACCUUCCGAAAGGUUGGCUAAUACUCGGUAAGCUUACGGUGACUUCGGUCGCUGGGAGAAAACUAGACCUAUAUUUAUAAGUUUAGGCCCAGAGAUGAGUUCGCGGCCCAUCAGCUAGUUGGCGGGGUAACGGCCCACUAAGGCUACGACGGGUAGCUGGUCUGAGAGGACGAUCAGCCACACUGGAACUGAGACACGGUCCAGACUCCUACGGGAGGUAGCAGUGGGGAAUUUUCCACAAUGGGCGAAAGCCUGAUGGAGCAACGCCGCGUGUGUGAUGAAGGUCUUCGGAUCGUAAAGCACUUUCGACUGGGACGAAAAACCUUUGGCUAACAUCCAGGGGCCUGACGGUGCCAGGAGAAGAAGCACCGGCUAACUCUGUGCCAGCAGCCGCCGUAAGAC
rnacentral:rRNA from 1 species